rnacentral:rRNA from 1 species
AUGAACGCUGGCGGCGUGCCUAAUACAUGCAAGUCGAGCGAACAGACGAGGAGCUUGCUCCUCUGACGUUAGCGGCGGACGGGUGAGUAACACGUGGAUAACCUACCUAUAAGACUGGGAUAACUUCGGGAAACCGGAGCUAAUACCGGAUAACAUGUUGAACCGCAUGGUCCAACAGUGAAAGACGGUCUUGCUGUCACUUAUAGAUGGAUCCGCGCCGCAUUAGCUAGUUGGUAAGGUAACGGCUUACCAAGGCAACGAUGCGUAGCCG